rnacentral:tRNA from 1 species
AGAGGUGUAGCUCAGUGGUAGAGGCCUUACUUGUUUAGCAUGUUCUAGGUCCUGGGUUCAAUCCCAGCACCACCA